AAAAGUUUGAAAAAUGGGAUAGCUUUGAACUUAGUGGGUAUGGGUGCUGCUAUUUUAGGGAUGCAGGCCACUGUAGGAUUCCUGGUGGCUAAGGCUCUUACUACUUCAGCUACACCAUAUUACCAAGGUACCCCUCCUGGGGUUAGCCCUGUUCUUGCUUUGGAUGUGUUCUUGGUUCAGGUCAGAUUUGUAAUUUGUUUAUUUAUUUAUUUAUUAUUAUUUUUUUAAUGAAUUAUUUGAUGAUUUAUAGGCGAGUGCGAAUACGAUCUUGUCACAUUUCUUGGGGCUUUUGUUUUCGUUGGAGUUACUGCGGUCAGUUACAGUGCCAGAGAACACACCGGUUCCUAGGGCGGCUUGAGGUUUUUCGUGUUUUUUCCAGGGGUAUUAUGGUAAUUUGCUUUUGGAACAAUUUGGUGGACAUUUUGUAGUGUGGUUUAAGUUAUAUAACUAGGGUUGUGGUGUUUUCUUCCCAUGAGUUAAAGAAAUG
rnacentral:lncRNA from 1 species